rnacentral:rRNA from 1 species
GAUGAACGCUGGCGGCGUGCCUAAUACAUGCAAGUCGAGCGAACAGACGAGGAGCUUGCUCCUCUGACGUUAGCGGCGGACGGGUGAGUAACACGUGGAUAACCUACCUAUAAGACUGGGAUAACUUCGGGAAACCGGAGCUAAUACCGGAUAAUAUAUUGAACCGCAUGGUUCAAUAGUGAAAGACGGUUUUGCUGUCACUUAUAGAUGGAUCCGCGCCGCAUUAGCUAGUUGGUAAGGUAACGGCUUACCAAGGCAACGAUGCGUAGCCGACCUGAGAGACUGGUCGGCCACACUGGAACUGAGACACGGUCCAGACUCCUACGGGAGGCAGCAGUAGGGAAUCUUCCGCAAUGGGCGAAAGCUUGACGGAGCAACGCCGCGUGAGUGAUGAAGGUCUUCGGAUCGUAAAACUCUGUUAUUAGGGAAGAACAAAUGUGUAAGUAACUAUGCACGUCUUGACGGUACCUAAUCAGAAAGCCACGGCUAACUACGUG